UCCCAGGUGGCCUAGCGGUUAAGCAUUCAGCAUUGUCACAGCUGUGACUCAGGUUCAAUUCCUGGCCCAGGAA
rfam:Sus scrofa chromosome 15.